GACGCUGCCCAUCCUCAGCUGAAUUCCACGAAUCUCACUUCAGGAGCUUCGACGUCUACGAUCCAUUAUAUGCAGGAGUUAGAGAUGCAAACUUUUGAAUACAAGACUAUACAACUUUCCUUCAUGAUAAAGUUGCAAGCCAACAAGUGACUAUACAACCUAUCUUCAUGAUGAAGUUGCAAGCCAACACUAAACUACCCAUAAAGAUUAACCCCCAAUUUUAAAUUCCUUACUAACCUAUCUAAGCCUUUCUUUUAUUUUAGAAAAGUAUUAUAAUAAUUUUCUAAUCUCAAAACUUAAUUCCUAUGGAUUAAUAAUAAUUUGUGAACAUGAAAACAUUAUUCCAUAUUUUAUGCAUUUAAUAAAGGUUAAGUAUUUAUUUAAAUACCUUAAUGAAAAGGCAUUAAACAAAUACCUAAGUUUUUAUUAUUUUUCCUAAGGUAUAAGAAUUUUAAUGCAUAAAGGAAAAUAAAAUAAUUCCUAACAAAAUUGGUUUCACUAAUUUUGGGCACUUCUAGAAUUUCCUGUGAAUUAAAUGGUGUAAACCAAAUUUUUAAACUCUUUAUCUAUAAAACGAAAACCUAAGGUUUAUUUAAAUAACCCCAGCCCAAAACUUUUCUCACUCGCACUGGGCCCAAAAGCCGGCCUACCAAUCUUCUCCUCCUUUUCCCCUGGCGCACGGGCCUGCUGAACCGGCCCAACGAGCGCCCAACUUUAGCGGGCCUCCUCACGACCGGCCUGCCUUCCUCACAGGCCAACGACCCAACUUCCUCCUCCUUAACCACCCGUCGGCCCACCUUUCUUAUCCCUUUUCUCCUUCCGACGCUCAGCCUGUUGAUCCGGCCCACAGCCUUCCUUUCACCCGCCGGCCCACUUCCUUUCCAAGCCGAAAAUCGGCCCAUCGGCUCUCCCUCUUUUCCCCCUCUUGCAGCUGACGAGCGGGCCCCCCUUGGUCAGGGGCUUCUUCCUCCCCUGGCCAAGAACAGAGGUGGAACAGGCCGGCGGGGGCUCACCGGCGACGGGGCCGGGCCGGGGAGGCAUCCCCAGGCCGCGGCACACCCGUGGGCGGCGGCGGCCCCCCGGGAGACGGCCAGAGAUGGCUUCUCCACGGCGGCGGGCGGCUUGGCCGGCUGCCGGCCGUGGCCUCGCACGGCGACGGCACAACACGGCCUUCGGCCUCCUCCUACGGCUCCCAAACAACCCAGCAUCGCGACUAGGACCCAAACAUUGAAGAGAAACGGGCGGCACAGAGAGCUCACCGGAGGAUGGUGGUGGCAAUGGGCGGACCGGUACGGCGGCGAUGCCCGGGCUGGCAGCGACGAACUGGACGACGGGCAGUUGCAGGGCGUCGCCAGGGCGUCGCGGUGGAGUCAGAGAGGUAGUUGGUGGCUGGUUCACGAGGAGGAAACGGCGGCGCGAAGAAUGGCCGGCGACGUGCUGCUGGCUCGCUCGAGCUCUGCUCUCGGCGGUGAAAAGCGGCAGAGUAAAACGGAUAGACGCGGGAGCAGCAACAUUACGAUUUUUCACCGUGCAUGACGUCCAGCUCGGCUCGCGGUAAGCGGCGUGGCGCGGACGUGGCCAUCACGCUGGCCGGCAAACGUGAGAGCCGGUGUCUCUGUGCUUUCUGUUCUUCCCUAUUAACACUUGCUUGUACUCAAAUCUUCCAAGGUUCAGAUGUUAAAAACUCCCAAAUUUUCAUUGUAAUUCUUGCGAUUCGCAACACUCCUUUAAACAAUCUUGUAGUGUAAACUAAGUACUUCAAUUGAUAGAUUGACCAUUAACUGAGGCGAACACUCUAGCACCAAGAUUUCGAAACUCAAAGUCCGGCCGAAAACUCUCUGUAACUGAACCAGAACGAUUCAGUUUUGUCAGACCUCUCAGCAGAGCCAUUUGCUCCACUUUGGGUUCGAUUUUAACUGCCCAAACUCACUUUAUCUUGCCCAACUUCCACUAAUCUUAGUUCAACAUACAACAAAGGUUCCAUUUUGCACAUAAGAACCCAUCUCUUACACACUAGAUUUUUCAAAAACUUGCACCAAAGAUUUGCUAAGCAGCCCUGUUCUUGAGGACAGCAUGAAGUUCUAACUUUGAGCCUCCAAAGAAAUUUGAAUUCUUUGCUUUCUUUGGCCAGCAACACAUCCAAAACACCCUUUAUGAAAGUUGGAGGAAAUCCAAAGUUCUACCUUUCAUAGAUUUGCACUUUUGGCUGAAUCUCGCUCCUUCCUCGUGAAAAUGUCUCUGAACUUUUCUGGACAUUGAACUUCAACUUAACUGAAUUUUUUUUUUCCUUUUGAACCUUGCUGUCAGAAACUUCAACAGCCAGUUACGACAAAAAUCCAAACUGCUCUUUCAAAAGUCCCUUUGUAAAAGUUGUAGUAAAUUUGCUGAAUUUCAAUUCAUAUUAUUACACCUCCUUCAGAUUCCCAACCAAUCGAGAGGAAUUUCCUUCUGAACCUGACUGCUACUUUUCCCUUUUUAACAGCUAAGCCUUUUGACAGAUUUUCUUCAGGUCGAUUUUCGUGGCUAAAAUUCAAUAGAGUCUUGCUCAGAGCCCUUAAACAAAGUUGUAGGAAAUAUUUGUGACUAUCUUUGAUACAUUUGGAGUUUCUGCUGAUUUUGACUCUAAGGGUUUGAAAUUUGCUUCCAAAACUGACUGUUACUGUUCAUUCCUCCAGUAUAGACAGAACUGUCAAUUUUUUUGAGCUGAAGGUUCAGAUUGUGUUUACUCCAUUUUUUUCACUUAAACUCUCAAAACUUUCUUUACAGAAGUUGUAGAGAACCUAUUUCUCUACAUUUCUCUUAGUCAUCUCAAAAGUCAAAUUCUUUUUUUUUUCUCUUCCAAAUCUAGCUCUGAAGCUAACUGCCAUUUCUUGCUUUUCACUGAACUGAAUUUGCACUGACUGUCUGUACUUCUUAACAGAACAGCACCCCCUUCUCCAAUUAAAUCUUGAAUUUCCACUUAACACUUCAAAUGCCAAUUAUUUCAUGCCAAACUUGGAGAUCAUGCUAAGCUUAAUAUAAAAGUUCCAUUUUGCCUAUAAAACCAAAAGUCCACAUAGGAUUUCUUCAAAAUCUCUUGAAUCAAAAUUCAUUUCUUUUAGAACUGUUUUCCAGAGGCAAUCAUUCCUACUUUCAGUUAGUGAACAGGAGCAUCCUCCAUUUUGAUUUUUGGACAAUUUAAGGUCCAUUUUCUUCUCAAAUGGUCUCUUUAAGUUCCAAAUGUCCAUAAGGUCCAAAUUCAUGCAUUUGUCAACUUUUUCUGAAUUUGAAGCUCUUAUUUGGCAUUUUUGGCUAAAAUUUGACCAAAAGUUGACUUUGGCCAUAAAAGCUCAUUAACCUCCAAAUCUUUAUCAUAUCCUGUUCUUGGCCAUUCUUGAGUGUUUUUAACACCCCGGGUGCUCUGCCAUACAGUUCUCAGCAGAUAGCUCGAUAAUCACUUGUUCCCUCUUUGAGUUCUAAUUUGGGAAUUUAAAUUCGUGUUUCUUGGGCUAAGAACUUCUGCAAUGGUUAACCAUAGAUUAAAGAUUCUAUUUCUCAAGUUGUCACCCAACUCUUGGUUGUAGGAGUCCUUUGAAUUUUUAAAUCUUGAAUCUUGAAUUCGAAUAUUUGGCUUUGGGUGAGAGGAGUCGAAGGGAGAUGGUAGGAGUUGGAUGGAUUUCGCUAGCGAAUGGAGCUCGAUCGGCCAUGGCUAUGCUUUUAAUAACACUGGGUGUUACACAUCCUAAACACCUUAAGCAAGAAUUAAAGCAAAAGUGAAGAACUUAUAUAAGCAACAUAAUCAUUAGUUGUUAUAUUAAUAUGAGAGCAUACAUAUGAGUUAUAUUCAAAGCUUAACCACUACUUAUCAUAACUUAGCAUCAUAUGUACCCCUCAAAAAUAACUAUUAAAAACAUCACAUGACUUGAGUAUAUGCAUCUACUAGAAAAUUUUCAUUAUCCAAUUAUAUAGCAAGCAUAUAUAUUAAUUAUAGGAGAUGUGGCAAACAUCUCAUUUGGAGCUGAGAUUUUUAUGGAUGAUAGAUGUUAUCAAAAUUACGGCUAUUGUAAAAUUUUCACAUGCUCAUGUUUUAUAAUUCAAUUGCUACGAAAAAGACAAAUUGCUCUUGCAAGAAAGCAUGUAAAAGCAAGAUAAUUCUAAAGAUCAUAAUUUCUAUAAACACAUAGCCAUACAAAAUGUUAUUAGGGUAGAACAACCUAAUAAAAAGGUAGUGGAACCAUAAUUUCUAUUUUUAGACACUCCUAAUAUUUAUAAAUCGCAUAACAAGCAUUAAACAAGUUAAACCAAAAACUAGGUCAUACAUGCACCAAUAAAUAUGAAAUUUUUACCACACCACAGAAUUUGGAGCAUCAAAACUUUAGAUAUGAAAAUGACAAGCAAACACACUAAAAUUUCCUAUUUAUCAAGAUUAAAUCAAAACAUGAUAAAAACAGUACACAACUAGCAUGUUCAAUAUUUUUUUAGCUAGAGAGUGUCAUCACAAGACUAAGACAACUGGAAUCACAAUUUUUGAACUUCUAGAACUCAAGAGAUGCAUCUAACCAUCUUAAAAGGAUUUCUAAAAGCACUUUGCAAGAAUAAAUAAAAACAUCAGAAACUUUCUGCUAACACAUAUUAUAUUAUGACUCUAAUACAUACUUCUACUCACAAGGAUUCUAAAACAUCUUCAUUAGCUAUUUUACAAUUUUCUACAAUUUACUAUGAAUUUCCAAAGUUUUAGCCUUUUUAGAUCUAGGAAAAAUAAAGAAAUCCGAGGCCAUCUUCCAAUCUAGCCCCUAGGUCUACGGGUUAAUCGCGCAAAGACCCUUGGAUCUUGCGCCUACACCCCUGGACAGAUUCCCCCUUCACUCUUAAAUCCGAACUUUUCACAGGACCCCCUACACUUCUUUCCCAAAAGCAAUCGGGUCCCUAGGCCCUUUCUUUUACCUCCAGUCACGCACAAAACAGCAGGUCACACAUAGCACGUCGCACGGCCGGCCGAGAACAAGGGGAAGGAGCACGGUGGUGCUAAGGAGGAGGGCGACAGGCCAUGCCCCAAGUUCAGGGACCUCACCCGUGGGGUCGUUGACGGGGGAUGGGCGGCGCACUAGAAGCUCCGAGGGGUGGCGGCGAAUGCCGUCGACAAGCCCGGGAACGAGCGAGGAAACUCGAUGCAAAUGGAAAAAGGACAAGAGCAUUACAGUUAGGAGCUCACCUAAGUUCCAUUUGAGCUGUUGGGGACGAGGAGGGCCAGAGCAUGGGGCGCCAUGUGAGGUCAACGGCGGCAGUGGAAAAGUUUUUGUAACUUGAGGGAAACUUCGAUUCCCGUCAAUUCUGUGGACGAUUGAGGGAGAGGAGGGGCUGAGGGUGUAGCUGGGGAAGUGGCGCAGCUUUGGGUGAGAGGAGUCGAAGGGAGAUGGUAGGAGUUGGAUGGAUUUCGCUAGCGAAUGGAGCUCGAUCGGCCAUGGCUAUGGUGAGGAGG
rnacentral:lncRNA from 1 species